AGAGUUUGAUCAUGGCUCAGAUUGAACGCUGGCGGCAGGCCUAACACAUGCAAGUCGAACGGUAACAGGAAGCAGCUUGCUGCUUUGCUGACGAGUGGCGGACGGGUGAGUAAUGUCUGGGAAACUGCCUGAUGGAGGGGGAUAACUACUGGAAACGGUGGCUAAUACCGCAUAACGUCGCAAGACCAAAGAGGGGGACCUUCGGGCCUCUUGCCAUCAGAUGUGCCCAGAUGGGAUUAGCUUGUUGGUGAGGUAACGGCUCACCAAGGCGACGAUCCCUAGCUGGUCUGAGAGGAUGACCAGCCACACUGGAACUGAGACACGGUCCAGACUCCUACGGGAGGCAGCAGUGGGGAAUAUUGCACAAUGGGCGCAAGCCUGAUGCAGCCAUGCCGCGUGUAUGAAGAAGGCCUUCGGGUUGUAAAGUACUUUCAGCGGGGAGGAAGGUGUUGCGGUUAAUAACCGCAGCAAUUGACGUUACCCGCAGAAGAAGCACCGGCUAACUCCGUGCCAGCAGCCGCGGUAAUACGGAGGGUGCAAGCGUUAAUCGGAAUUACUGGGCGUAAAGCGCACGCAGGCGGUCUGUCAAGUCGGAUGUGAAAUCCCCGGGCUCAACCUGGGAACUGCAUUCGAAACUGGCAGGCUUGAGUCUUGUAGAGGGGGGUAGAAUUCCAGGUGUAGCGGUGAAAUGCGUAGAGAUCUGGAGGAAUACCGGUGGCGAAGGCGGCCCCCUGGACAAAGACUGACGCUCAGGUGCGAAAGCGUGGGGAGCAAACAGGAUUAGAUACCCUGGUAGUCCACGCCGUAAACGAUGUCUACUUGGAGGUUGUGCCCUUGAGGCGUGGCUUCCGGAGCUAACGCGUUAAGUAGACCGCCUGGGGAGUACGGCCGCAAGGUUAAAACUCAAAUGAAUUGACGGGGGCCCGCACAAGCGGUGGAGCAUGUGGUUUAAUUCGAUGCAACGCGAAGAACCUUACUUGGUCUUGACAUCCACAGAACUUUCCAGAGAUGGAUUGGUGCCUUCGGGAACUGUGAGACAGGUGCUGCAUGGCUGUCGUCAGCUCGUGUUGUGAAAUGUUGGGUUAAGUCCCGCAACGAGCGCAACCCUUAUCCUUUGUUGCCAGCGAUUAGGUCGGGAACUCAAAGGAGACUGCCAGUGAUAAACUGGAGGAAGGUGGGGAUGACGUCAAGUCAUCAUGGCCCUUACGACCAGGGCUACACACGUGCUACAAUGGCGCAUACAAAGAGAAGCGACCUCGCGAGAGCAAGCGGACCUCAUAAAGUGCGUCGUAGUCCGGAUUGGAGUCUGCAACUCGACUCCAUGAAGUCGGAAUCGCUAGUAAUCGUGGAUCAGAAUGCCACGGUGAAUACGUUCCCGGGCCUUGUACACACCGCCCGUCACACCAUGGGAGUGGGUUGCAAAAGAAGUAGGUAGCUUAACCUUCGGGAGGGCGCUUACCACUUUGUGAUUCAUGACUGGGGUGAAGUCGUAACAAGGUAACCGUAGGGGAACCUGCGGUUGGAUCACCU
rnacentral:rRNA from 1 species